AGUGAACGCUGGCGGUAGGCCUAACACAUGCAAGUCGAACGGCAGCACAGUAAGAGCUUGCUCUUACGGGUGGCGAGUGGCGGACGGGUGAGGAAUACAUCGGAAUCUACUUUUUCGUGGGGGAUAACGUAGGGAAACUUACGCUAAUACCGCAUACGACCUACGGGUGAAAGCAGGGGAUCUUCGGACCUUGCGCGAUUGAAUGAGCCGAUGUCGGAUUAGCUAGUUGGCGGGGUAAAGGCUCACCAAGGCGACGAUCCGUAGCUGGUCUGAGAGGAUGAUCAGCCACACUGGAACUGAGACACGGUCCAGACUCCUACGGGAGGCAGCAGUGGGGAAUAUUGGACAAUGGGCGCAAGCCUGAUCCAGCCAUACCGCGUGGGUGAAGAAGGCCUUCGGGUUGUAAAGCCCUUUUGUUGGGAAAGAAAAGCAGCAGGUUAAUACCCCGCUGUUCUGACGGUGCCCAAAGAAUAAGCACCGGCUAACUUCGUG
rnacentral:rRNA from 1 species